UGCCAGCCGCCGCGGUAAUACGUGUGGGGCAAGCGUUGUUCGGAAUUACUGGGCUUAAAGGGUGCGUAGGCGGUUUUUUAAGUCAGGGGUGAAAGUCGGUGGCCCAACCAUCGAAUUGCCUUUGAUACUGAUUAACUUGAGUGUGUUAGGGGAGAGCGGAACGUGUAGUGUAGCGGUGAAAUGCGUAGAUAUUACACGGAAGGCCGGAGCCGAAGGGGGCUCUCUGGGACACAACUGACGCUGAGGCACGAAAGCGUGGGGAGCAAACAGGAUUAGAUA
rnacentral:rRNA from 1 species